GCAAAGGUGGACAUCUCUAGCAGCCAAGGUUGUGUUGGUUCAUAAGCUUCAAAAUAUUGUGACUGGCUCAAGAGAGGAAUAGACGUUCCUCAGAAACCUGACUCAGACCUGGAUGCAUUUGCUGAGAGAUUCGUGAUGGAUCCUUGACUGGGAGGGGAACAUCAGACGAGACCACGUUGAGGGACAUUCUGCACAAUGCUGGCACAUGUUCUUCAAAAAUGCACUAUCCAUGAAUGACAAAGAGGACUGGGAUAGAAAAAGGAUGUGGCACAUGGUGUGUAAAUGCAGUGUGUGAUUCUGAAUUGAAUUCUGGGCUGGCCUGGUAAGUGCUUCUUUUUCCAUAUAAGACA